GUGCUCCUUUCAACAGCACAUAUAUUAAAAUUGGAAUUAUACAGAGAAGAUUAGCAUGGCCCCUGCAUAGAGAUGACGCACAAAUUCGUGAAGCGUUCCAUAUUUUU